rnacentral:rRNA from 1 species
GAUGAACGCUGGCGGCGUGCCUAAUACAUGCAAGUCGAGCGAAUGGAUUAAGAGCUUGCUCUUAUGAAGUUAGCGGCGGACGGGUGAGUAACACGUGGGUAACCUGCCCAUAAGACUGGGAUAACUCCGGGAAACCGGGGAUAAUACCGGAUAACAUUUUGAACAGCAUGGUUCGAAAUUGAAAGGCGGCUUCGGCUGUCACUUAUGGAUGGACCCGCGUCGCAUUAGCUAGUUGGUGAGGUAACGGCUCCCAAAGGCAACGAUGCGUAGCCGACCUGGGAGGGUGAUCGGCCACACUGGGACUGAGACACGGCCCAGACUCCUACGGGAGGCAGCAGUAGGGAAUCUUCCGCAAUGGACGAAAGUCUGACGGAGCAACGCCGCGUGAGUGAUGAAGGCUUUCGGGUCGUAAAACUCUGUUGUUAGGGAAGAACAAGUGCUAGUUGAAUAAGCUGGCACCUUGACGGUACCUAACCAGAAGGCCACGGCUAACUACGUGCCAGCCGCCGCUGUAA